rnacentral:rRNA from 1 species
UGGGUUAGUGGCGGACGGGUGAGUAACGCGUGGGCAACCUGCCUUACACAGGGGGAUAACACUUAGAAAUAGGUGCUAAAACCGCGUAAGCGCACAGCUUCGCAUGAAGCGGUGUGAAAAACUCCGGUGGUGUAAGAUGGACCCGCGUCUGAUUAGCUUGUUGGCGGGGUAACGGCCCACCAAGGCGACGAUCAGUAGCCGGCCUGAGAGGGCGGACGGCCACAUUGGGACUGAGACACGGCCCAGACUCCUACGGAAGGCAGCAG